GACGUAGGGCGCAAGCGUUGUCCGGAUUUAUUGGGCGUAAAGAGCUCGUAGGCGGUCUGUCGCGUCGACCGUGAAAACCCGCAGCUCAACUGCGGGCUUGCGGUCGAUACGGGCAGGCUGGAGUUCGGUAGGGGAGACUGGAAUUCCUGGUGUAGCGGUGAAAUGCGCAGAUAUCAGGAGGAACACCGGUGGCGAAGGCGGGUCUCUGGGCCGAUACUGACGCUGAGGAGCGAAAGCGUGGGGAGCGAACAGG
rnacentral:rRNA from 1 species